AGCGGCGAACGGGUGAGUAACACGUAGGUGAUCUGCCCAUCAGACGGGGACAACGAUUGGAAACGAUCGCUAAUACCGGAUAGGACGAAAGUUUAAAGGUGCUUCUGGCACCGCUGAUGGAUGAGCCUGCGGCGCAUUAGCUAGUUGGUAGGGUAAAGGCCUACCAAGGCGACGAUGCGUAGCCGACCUGAGAGGGUGAACAGCCACACUGGGACUGAGACACGGCCCAGACUCCUACGGGAGGCAGCAGUAGGGAAUCUUCGGCAAUGGGCGAAAGCCUGACCGAGCAACGCCGCGUGAAUGAUGAAGGCCAUCGGGUUGUAAAAUUCUGUUAUAAGGGAAGAACGACUUUAGUAGGAAAUGGCUAGAGUGUGACGGUACCUUAUGAGAAAGCCACGGCUAGCUACGUGCCAGCAGCCGCGGUAAUACGUAGGUGGCGAGCGUUAUCCGGAAUUAUUGGGCGUAAAGAGCGCGCAGGUGGUUGAUUAAGUCUGAUGUGAAAGCCCACGGCUUAACCGUGGAGGGUCAUUGGAAACUGGUCGACUUGAGUGCAGAAGAGGGAAGUGGAAUUCCAUGUGUAGCGGUGAAAUGCGUAGAGAUAUGGAGGAACACCAGUGGCGAAGGCGGCUUCCUGGUCUGUAACUGACACUGAGGCGCGAAAGCGUGAGGAGCAAACAGGAUUAGAUACCCUGGUAGUCCACGCCGUAAACGAUGAGUGCUAAGUGU
rnacentral:rRNA from 1 species